rnacentral:tRNA from 1 species
GCGGGCGUAGUUCAGUGGUAGAACGCAAGCUUCCCAAGCUUGAUGUCGAGGGUUCAAUCCCCUUCGCCCGCUCCA